rnacentral:rRNA from 1 species
AGAGUUUGAGUCCUGGCUCAGGACAACGCUGGCGGCGUGCUUAACACAUGGCAAGUCGAACGCUGAAGCUUGGUGCUUGCACUGGGUGGAUCGAGUGGCGAACGGGUGAGUAUCACGUGAGUAACCUGCCCCUGACUUCGGGAUAAGCCUGGGAAACUGGGUCUAAUACCGGAUAUGACCAUCUUUCGCAUGUUUGGUGGUGGAAAGUUUUUUCGGUUGGGGAUGGGGCUCGCGGCCUAUCAGUUUGUUGGUGGGGUAAUGGCCUACCAAGACGACGACGGGUAGCCGGCCUGAGAGGGCGACCGGCCACACUGGGGACUGAGACACGGCCCAGACUCCUACGGGAGGCAGCAGUGGGGAAUAUUGCACAAUGGGGGAAACCCUGAUGCAGCGACGCCGCGUGGGGGAUGACGGCCUUCGGGUUGUAAACCUCUUUCAGUAGGGAAGAAGCCUUUGGGUGACGGUACCUGCAGAAGAAGUACCGGCUAACUACGUAG